UACAGAGGGGGCAAGCGUUGUUCGGAAUUACUGGGCGUAAAGGGCGCGUAGGCGGCCCGCUAAGUCGGACGUGAAAUCCCCAGGCUCAACCUGGGAACUGCGUCCGAUACUGGCAGGCUUGAAUCUGGGAGAGGGAUGUGGAAUUCCAGGUGUAGCGGUGAAAUGCGUAGAUAUCGGGAGGAACACCAGAGGCGAAGGCGGCGCACUGGACAGUAACUGACACUCAAUUGCGAAAGCGUGGGGAGCAAACAGG
rnacentral:rRNA from 1 species